UGGGGAAUUUUGGACAAUGGGCGCAAGCCUGAUCCAGCAAUGCCGCGUGCAGGAUGAAGGCCUUCGGGUUGUAAACUGCUUUUGUACGGAGCGAAAAGGUCUGCCCUAAUACGGUGGGCUCAUGACGGUACCGUAAGAAUAAGCACCGGCUAACUACGUGCCAGCAGCCGCGGUAAUACGUAGGGUGCGAGCGUUAAUCGGAAUUACUGGGCGUAAAGCGUGCGCAGGCGGUUAUAUAAGACAGAGGUGAAAUCCCCGGGCUCAACCUGGGAACUGCAUUUGUGACUGCAUAGCUGGAGUGCGGCAGAGGGGGAUGGAAUUCCGCGUGUAGCAGUGAAAUGCGUAGAUAUGCGGAGGAACACCGAUGGCGAAGGCAAUCCCCUGGGCCUGCACUGACGCUCAUGCACGAAAGCGUGGGGAGCAAACA
rnacentral:rRNA from 1 species